rnacentral:rRNA from 1 species
GCCUGAUCCAGCAAUGCCGCGUGUGUGAAGAAGGCCUUCGGGUUGUAAAGCACUUUUGUCCGGAAAGAAAUCCUUGGCUCUAAUACAGUCGGGGGAUGACGGUACCGGAAGAAUAAGCACCGGCUAACUACGUGCCAGCAGCCGCGGUAAUACGUAGGGUGCGAGCGUUAAUCGGAAUUACUGGGCGUAAAGCGUGCGCAGGCGGUUUGCUAAGACCGAUGUGAAAUCCCCGGGCUCAACCUGGGAACUGCAUUGGUGACUGGCAGGCUAGAGUAUGGCAGAGGGGGGUAGAAUUCCACGUGUAGCAGUGAAAUGCGUAGAGAUGUGGAGGAAUACCGAUGGCGAAGGCAGCCCCCUGGGCCAAUACUGACGCUCAUGCACGAAAGCGUGGGGAGCAAACAGGAUUAGAUACCCUGGUAGUCCACGCCCUAAACGAUGUCAACUAGUUGUUGGGGAUUCAUUUCCUUAGUAACGUAGCUAACGCGUGAAGUUGACCGCCUGGGGAGUACGGUCGCAAGAUUAAAACUCAAAGGAAUUGACGGGGACCCGCACAAGCGGUGGAUGAUGUGGAUUAAUUCGAUGCAACGCGAAAAACCUUACCUACCCUUGACAUGGUCGGAAUCCUGCUGAGAGGUGGGAGUGCUCGAAAGAGAACCGGCGCACAGGUGCUGCAUGGCUGUCGUCAGCUCGUGUCGUGAGA